GGGUAAGAUCCAGGCCUAAGUUCCUUGGAACAGGACGUCAUGGAGGGUGAGAACCCCGUACGUGGUCCAUGAUCGCGCCCAUGUGAAACUCCUUCGACGAGUCGAGUUGUUUGGGAAUGCAGCUCAAAAUGGGAGGUAAAUUCCUUCUAAAGCUAAAUAUUGGCCAGAGACCGAUAGCGCACAAGUAGAGUGAUCGAAAGAUGAAAAGCACUUUGAAAAGAGAGUUAAAAAGCAUGUGAAAUUGUUGAAAGGGAAGCGCUUGCAGCCAGACUUGCUUGCAGGGUUCAGCCGCCGUUCUCGUCGGUGCAUUUCUCUGUGAUCAGGCCAGCAUCAGUUUGGGUGGAAGGUGAACGGCCCCGGGAACGUACCAUCCCCCGGGAUGACUUAUAGCCCUCGGUGUAAUGCUUCCUGCCCAGACGGAGGCACGCGUUCGCUCGGAUGCUGGCGUAAUGGCUGUAAGCGGCCCGUCUUGAAACACGGACCAAGGAGUCUAACAUCUAUGCGAGUAUUCGGGUGUCAAACCCCUAUGCGUAAUGAAAGUGAACGGAGGUGGGAACCUUUCGGGGGGCACCAUCGACCGAUCCAGAUGUCUUCGGAUGGAUUUGAGUAAGAGCAUAGCUGCUGGGACCCGAAAGAUGGUGAACUAUGCCUGAAUAGGGUGAAGCCAGAGGAAACUCUGGUGGAGGCUCGCAGCGGUUCUGACGUGCAAAUCGAUCGUCAAAUUUGGGUAUAGGGCGAAAGACUAAU
rnacentral:rRNA from 1 species